rnacentral:rRNA from 1 species
AGUGAACGCUGGCGGUAGGCCUAACACAUGCAAGUCGAACGGCAGCACAGUAAGAGCUUGCUCUUACGGGUGGCGAGUGGCGGACGGGUGAGGAAUACAUCGGAAUCUACUUUUUCGUGGGGGAUAAUGUAGGGAAACUUACGCUAAUACCGCAUACGACCUACGGGUGAAAGCAGGGGAUCUUCGGACCUUGCGCGAUUGAAUGAGCCGAUGUCGGAUUAGCUAGUUGGCGGGGUAAAGGCCCACCAAGGCGACGAUCCGUAGCUGGUCUGAGAGGAUGAUCAGCCACACUGGAACUGAGACACGGUCCAGACUCCUACGGGAGGCGGCAGUGGGGAAUAUUGGGCAAAGGGCGCAAGCCUGAUCCAGCCAUACCGCGUGGGUGAAGAAGGCCUUCGGGUUGUAAAGCCCUUUUGUUGGGAAAGAAAAGCAGCAGGUUAAUACCCCGCUGUUCUGACGGUACCCAAAGAAUAAGCACCGGCUAACUUCGUG